rnacentral:rRNA from 1 species
GCAUAUCAAUAAGCGGAGGAAAAGAAAUCAACGAAGAUUGCCUCAGUAGCGGCGAGUGAAGCGGCAAUAGCUCAAGUUUAGAAUCUGUGAUCGUUUCGGUCACCGAAUUGUAAUCUAAAGGGGCUAACAAAAAGGGAUGAGGAAGCAUAAGUUCCUUGGAACAGGACAUCAUAGAGGGUGAAAAUCCCGUAUGUAGCUUCCGCUGAACUGAAUGUUGACCUUCUAAGAGUCGGGUUGUUUGGGAUUGCAGCCCUAAAUGGGAGAUAAACUUCUUCUAAAGCUAAAUAUCUAUGGGAAACCGAUAGCGAACAAGUACUGUGAAGGAAAGGUGAAAAGAACUUUGAAAAGAGGGUUAAAAGACUUGAAAUCGUUGAGAAGGAAGCAGUAAAAGUGGAUUUAUGUUAGCUAUGAAGCAAGCUAUGUGAGGACCAGCUCGUAGUGGUUAUGUACGUCAUUGGCUACCUGCUACGAUGUAAUGGCACUCUAUGGCGAUUUCAUAGUUAAAGGGCAAGACCAGGUCUUAUUUGCUGGAGUCAGUUGAGGGAAAGUCCAUCACUCUGUGGUGAAUCCCUUGACAAAACAGUAAUAUGGCCUGAGGAAAUUGGUCUUGUCACAACGGCUUUUACUGACCCGUCUUGAAACACGGACCA